rnacentral:rRNA from 1 species
AGGAGGUGUGCAUUGUUUAUAAAAUUUAUUUCUAAUCUAUUUGAUUUAACUUUCAAUUAUAUUAAUAUAAUUACUAUCAAAUAAUAAUUCUAAGUAUUAAAAUUACUUAAGGAAUUAGUACAAACAAAAUUUCAUAAUAAUUAUAAAAAAUUAUUAAAUUGAAAAAAUGUAUUAGUUUACAAAUUAGAUUAUUCUUAAAUGAAUAUAUAAUAUACGCUUAGAAAUUAUAUGUACUAUAAUAAUUAUUAUCAGUAACAGAUUUUUAAUUAUUAUUAAUUAACUGAUCUAAUUUAUAUAAACGUGAUUAGUUAAAUUUGUGAACCCAACGAAUUCAAUUUAGUAACAUCUCAAAAGUCAUAGCAAGGUAGCUGUACUGGAAA